rnacentral:misc_RNA from 1 species
GAAGUGCGAUAAGUGUCAUGACUUGCAGAUUCCCGAGAGCUGACAAAUUUCUGAAUGCAAAUGGCGGCUGCCAAACAGCCAUGUAUCGCAGAGUGUAGUUGUUCAUACUCUUCAUCCCCCUCACACACACAUCGCUAGCGCCACACACAUGUGGUGACUAGUUUGUGUGCGGGCUUUGGGAUCUGCGCUUGCGACCACCACACGCGAGCGUGAAAAACGGGGAGUCUUCCCAUUGUGUGUGCGUCUCUGCGCACACAAUGGGGAGGCAACUUCGGGCAGAUGAGAGUCUCACUCUCAAUCAUGUGAGAAGUUGAAGGGCCCCGACAUGUGGAGUGUGUGAUACACCAACACGCACACACAUAGUGUGUUCUAUCAGCCACCUCUGCGAUGCAGGAGAACC